rnacentral:sRNA from 1 species
AUCUGCUGGCUCAGCCUUGGUACUCGGGGAACUGUGACCGCUAUGCUGUUGAGAGUGCCCUGCUCCACUUACAAAAGGAUGGGGCCUAUACCGUGCGCCCCAGCUCAGGGCCUCAUGGCUCCCAGCCCUUCACCCUGGCAGUGCUUCUCCGAGGCCGGGUCUUCAACAUUCCCAUCCGGCGGCUGGAUGGCGGACGCCACUAUGCCCUGGGCCGGGAGGGCAGGAACCAUGAGGAGCUCUUCUCCUCCGUGGCGGCCAUGGUCCAGCACUUCAUGUGGCACCCUCUGCCCCUUGUGGACAGACACAGCGGCAGCCGGGAACUCACCUGCCUGCUCUUCCCCACCAAGCCUUGAGGCCACAGCGAAGUACACACUGCCUUUGGCCCCAGUUUGCUUCUUGUCCCGCCCCACCUUGGGCUGUCUUCCUCUCUCCUUCCCCACCCCUCCUCACCCUAGCCUUUCCCAGUGCCCGCAAGCAGCAUUAAUGGGGAAAGGCUGCCUGGAGGCCCA